AUGCAUUUUUUCUUCAUUUUCCUCCGGGCAGGGAGAGUCUCCAUAACAGCUCUGCACGAUGGGAGGACCCCAAGACAGCAGCCCAAGGAGGACAGGCAUUCUCGUGAGACAGCCGGAAUCCAGGUCUUCAGCUCCUCUGUGGUGCCGCAGGGGCUCCUGGGAGUCCGCCAUCUUGUGGACAGUGAAGGGCCAGCCGUCUGCUCUCUACUGGAUCUGAAGACAUCCCUGGGAGCAGAGCGGAUGUUGGUAGCAGAUUCCAGUAUGGGAAGCUCAGAGAAGUUUCCAGAUGGCAGAUUAUGGGAUUUUUUUUCUGCCUUCAAAAUUGAACCCUUGUGAAGGCAACCAAUCGUGGACCUCACUCUCCUGCAAGUCCCAGAGCAGGCUGGACAAAUGUGGGACUUCCUAGGAGUUUACAGAUGGAGGGACAGAAGCCAAGGAGAGGCCACAGAGCUGGCUUUGCCCCCACCAUCCCUUGCCUGGACCCCUUCCACCCGAGCAGCUUGGCCCAGGGCAACCCUUGCCCUCCCAGACUGCACACAUCCUGUUUUAAGGAUGCACAGCUUAAAACGCGGUCGUGUGAGGUGAAUGUGAUAACCACUGCACUCCGGAAACCCUGCCCACAUUAACAAAAGAAAAGUCAAAAACCAUAUGAUCAUCUCAAUAGAUGCAGAAAAAGCAUUUGACAAAGCGCAACAUCCAGUCAUGUUCAAAACUCUCGCCAAAGUGGGUAUAGAGGGAACAUUCCUGAACAUAAGCAAAGCCAUUUAUGACAAACCCACAGCAAAUAUAAUACUCAAUGGAGAAAAACUGAAAGCCUUCUCACUCAUCUGGAACAAGAGAGGGAUGCCCACUCUCGCUACUG
rnacentral:lncRNA from 1 species